rnacentral:misc_RNA from 1 species
AAAAAAGAUACAAUCAUAAAGGUAUAGGAAAAACAAAUAGGAAAUAAUAAAAAAGAAGCAACGUCAGCAUCCAUUACCAAAGUAAGAUGAUCAACCCAACAAAAUCUGUAUAAAGCUUGUGGCUAUAAUGAUGCUGUGGUGGGGAUACUUAAUAAUCACAUGGAUAACCUUUAGAAUGCCAGCAAUGAACUAACAACGUUUGGUUGCAGAAACUAUUUGCUUAAACUGUUAAACAACAUAUUUAUCAAGAGUCUAAUGAACCUAAUCAGUAGUAAAU